rnacentral:rRNA from 1 species
CAGUCGCCACGGGAAUACAGAGGGUGCGAGCGUUAAUCGGAUUUACUGGGCGUAAAGCGUGCGUAGGCGGCUUCUUAAGUCGGAUGUGAAAUCCCUGAGCUUAACUUAGGAAUUGCAUUCGAUACUGGGAAGCUAGAGUAUGGGAGAGGAUGGUAGAAUUCCAGGUGUAGCGGUGAAAUGCGUAGAGAUCUGGAGGAAUACCGAUGGCGAAGGCAGCCAUCUGGCCUAAUACUGACGCUGAGGUACGAAAGCAUGGGGAGCAAACAGGAUUAGAUACCCCAGUAGUCCCUGUCUCUUAUAA